GACGAACGCUGGCGGCGUGCUUAACACAUGCAAGUCGAACGGAAAGGCCCUGCUUUUGUGGGGUGCUCGAGUGGCGAACGGGUGAGUAACACGUGAGUAACCUGCCCUUGACUUUGGGAUAACUUCAGGAAACUGGGCUAAUACCGGAUAGGAGCUCCUGCUGCAUGGUGGGGGUUGGAAAGUUUCGGCGGUUGGGGAUGGACUCGCGGCUUAUCAGCUUGUUGGUGGGGUAGGGGCUUACCAAGGCUUUGACGGGUAGCCGGCCUGAGAGGGUGACCGGCCACAUUGGGACUGAGAUACGGCCCAGACUCCUACGGGAGGCAGCAGUGGGGAAUAUUGCACAAUGGGCGGAAGCCUGAUGCAGCAACGCCGCGUGCGGGAUGACGGCCUUCGGGUUGUAAACCGCUUUCGCCUGUGACGAAGCGUGAGUGACGGUAAUGGGUAAAGAAGCACCGGCUAACUACGUG
rnacentral:rRNA from 1 species